UUUAUGAAAUAUUACUCAAGUUAUAGGAGGACUCCUCUAGUUACAUGCAUUAACUGUUUGUUCUAUUAACAAGGAAUAGAGGUUAGGGUGCUUUGCGAAAAAGCUAAGGAGGUUUUAAUGGAAGAAAGCAAUGUUCAGGCCAACUGUUCAAUCUGUUCAAAGCUCACAAAGAUCCUAG